GCGCGUAUGGUUUCUUUUUUAAGAAAUUGAAACAAACCUCUGAUUUCAUAUAGUGAGUUGUAGUGUACCCCAGACCAGAAACUUAACCACAAUUCACGUUUCGGUGACUGGUAUUGUGGCAUAAUUUCAAUAAAACAAAUAUCUCUAAAAGAUGUCAACAGGCAGAUCUUUGCUGCAAACUUAUCGGCUGCUGCUUGUAAUGUAACAUGGUCCCCCCAUUCACCAGAUUUUGCCAUUUUCUUGUAAUAACGCUUGUACUUCAUCGGGACAUAGCCUUCAUACAAUGAUCGGUAAUCUUUCAGCUGUUUCACAAC
rnacentral:misc_RNA from 1 species